rnacentral:lncRNA from 1 species
UAAAUGUGACUGUUAUGUCCUGCGAGGUUACUAGAUUCGCCGAUGAUGACACCUCGUGGACAAGUGGGUUGUUUAUUGUCACGCGGGAUUUUAUUUUAUAAUUUAAUUUGAAAUAUACUUAAAAAUGACUGAUUUAGAUUGUGUGGCAAGGUAUGAUUUUAAAUGAUAAGAAUUCAAUUGAACUUAAUGUUGAUGUUUAUUUAGAAAUCGGAGAGAUGGAGUGAAUAGUUACAGCUCUCGGGGAGAAGUGAAGUCACAAAGUCUCAACUCUGACUGCUCAGCUUCACGUUCCCCCACUAUGGUUACACGUAUACACCUAUACUAUUGCUAGAACUACCCUUAUACAUAGUGCGUAAUAUACUAUCUUACAUGUACUUAUAUAAACUUAUUUAUUUAUAACACUUAUUAUUUUCGGCUGCGGCCGGCUUACAUAUUCAUGUACCUGUAUUUACCUGGCUUUAAAUUCAGCACAGCGACCUAGGGAAACCGCAGAAAACCUGGUCGAGGCUUUUAAGGUAUUAUCUGCUCAAUAAAUUAUAUCAGAUGCGGAA